rnacentral:rRNA from 1 species
UGGUGGAGUGAUUUGUCUGGUUAAUUCCGUUAACGAACGAGACCUCGACCUGCUAAAUAGUUCGGCGAUUCCUUUCUGGAAUCGAGCGUGACUUCUUAGAGGGACUAUCGUGUGUGUAGCCGAUGGAAGUUCGAGGCAAUAACA